CGUCGCUCCUCUGGCCUCUAUCGAGCGGCGACGGCGCGGCGCGGCUUGCCGGAGGGACUCCUGGGGUCGUGCGGAGGGGUAUGCGGUGCGGUGGAGUCGCCGGCGACGGUUCUGCAGUGCUGCACAGAACCUGCAACUGCAGGUGAGGUGGCUGCCCAGAAACCGCCAAGCCCGACCUCCUCCGACCUCGAACGCCGCCCAGAAGAGGUCUGGGACGCCUCCGGCCUCCCUCCGGCCAGCCCCGUGCCGCCGUCGUCACCUGGAACCAGCCUGCUGCGUCGAAGUCCGCACUUUAGCGAAGUGCGGACGUCCGC
rnacentral:lncRNA from 1 species